rnacentral:rRNA from 1 species
GUACACUCCUGCGGGAGGCAGCAGUGAGGAAUAUUGGACAAUGGGUGGAAGCCUGAUCCAGCCAUCCCGCGUGCAGGAAGACGGCCCUAUGGGUUGUAAACUGCUUUUAUCUGGGGAUAAACCUACUUACGUGUAAGUAGCUGAAGGUACCAGAAGAAUAAGCACCGGCUAACUCCGUGCCAGCAGCCGCGGUAAUACGGAGGGUGCAAGCGUUAUCCGGAUUUAUUGGGUUUAAAGGGUCCGUAGGCGGACUGAUAAGUCAGUGGUGAAAUCCGACAGCUUAACUGUCGAACUGCCAUUGAUACUGUUAGUCUUGAGUAAGGUUGAAGUGGCUGGAAUAAGUAGUGUAGCGGUGAAAUGCAUAGAUAUUACUUAGAACACCAAUUGCGAAGGCAGGUCACUAAGUCUUAACUGACGCUGAUGGACGAAAGCGUGGGGAGCGAACAGGAUUAGAAACCCUAGUAGUCCCA